rnacentral:rRNA from 1 species
ACACAUGCAAGUCGAACGGCAGCACAGAGGAGCUUGCUCCUUGGGUGGCGAGUGGCGGACGGGUGAGUAAUGCAUCGGGACCUACCCAGACGUGGGGGAUAACGUAGGGAAACUUACGCUAAUACCGCAUACGUCCUACGGGAGGAAGCAGGGGACCUUCGGGCCUUGCGCGGUUGGACGGACCGAUGUGCGAUUAGCUAGUUGGUAGGGUAAUGGCCUACCAAGGCGACGAUCGCUAGCUGGUCUGAGAGGAUGAUCAGCCACACUGGGACUGAGACACGGCCCAGACUCCUACGGGAGGCAGCAGUGGGGAAUAUUGGACAAUGGGCGCAAGCCUGAUCCAGCAAUGCCGCGUGUGUGAAGAAGGCCUUCGGGUUGUAAAGCACUUUUAUCAGGAACGAAAUACCACGGGUUAAUACCCUAUGGGGCUGACGGUACCUGAGGAAUGAGCACCGGCUAACUUCGUGCCAGCAGCCGCGGUAAUACGAAGGGUGCAAGCGUUAAUCGGAAUUACUGGGCGUAAAGGGUGCGUAGGCGGUUCGUUAAGUCUGUCGUGAAAUCCCCGGGCUCAACCUGGGAAUGGCGAUGGAUACUGGCGAGCUAGAGUGUGUCAGAGGAUGGUGGAAUUCCCGGUGUAGCGGUGAAAUUCGUAGAGAUCGGGAGGAACAUCAGUGGCGAAAGGCGGCCAUCUGGGACAACACUGACGCUGAAGCACGAAAGCGUGGGGAGCAAACAGGAUUAGAUACCCUGGUAGUCCACGCCCUAAACGAUGCGAACUGGAUGUUGGUCUCAACUCGGAGAUCAGUGUCGAAGCUAACGCGUGAGUUGACCGCCUGGGAG